GUAGGUGGCAAGCGUUGUCCGGAAUUAUUGGGCGUAAAGCGCGCGCAGGCGGUUCUUUAAGUCUGAUGUGAAAGCCCACGGCUCAACCGUAGGAGGGUCAUUGGAAACUGGAGAACUUGAGUACAGAAGAGGAAAGCGGAAUUCCACGUGUAGCGGUGAAAUGCGUAGAGAUGUGGAGGAACACCAGUGGCGAAGGCGGCUUUCUGGUCUGUAACUGACGCUGAGGCGCGAAAGCGUGGGGGAGCAAACAGGAUUAGAUACCCUGGUAGUCCACGCCGUAAACGAUGAGUGCUAAGUGUUAGGGGGUUUCCGCCCCUUAGUGCUGCAGCUAACGCAUUAAGCACUCCGCCUGGGAGUACGGCCGCAAGGCUG
rnacentral:rRNA from 1 species